rnacentral:rRNA from 1 species
AAUGAACGUUGGCGGCAUGGAUUAGGCGUGCAAGUCGAGCGAGAAGGGUUUUGAAGCUUGCUUUAGAACCCGGAAAGCGGCGAAAGGGAGAGUAACGAGUAGUUAUCUACCCCAAGGCCCGGAAUAGCCGCGGGAAACUGCAGGUAAUGCCGGAUAAUAUCCCCGGAUCAAAGGUGUGAUUCCGCCUUGGGAGGAGACUGCUUUGUACUAGCUUGUUGGUAGGGUAAUGGCCUACCAAGGCUACGAUGCAUAGCGGGCGUGAGAGCGUGGCCCGUCUCACCGGGACUGAAACACUGCCCAGACACCUACGGGUGGCUGCAGUCGAGAAUCUUCGGCAAUGGGCGAAAGCCUGACCGAGCGAUGCCGCGUGCGGGAUGAAGGCCCUCGGGUUGUAAACCGCUGUCGUAGAGGAGAAAGGUCUCGUGAAGAGCGAGAUUUGAUCUAUUCUAGGAGGAAGUCGGGGCUAAGUUCGUGCCAGCAGCCGCAGUAAGAC